rnacentral:rRNA from 1 species
GACGUAGGGGGCAAGCGUUGUUCGGAAUUAUUGGGCGUAAAGCGCUCGUAGGCGGGACUGGAAGUCCGGGUUGAAAGACCUCGGCUCAACUGAGGGACCGGCUCGGAUACUCUAGUUCUUGAGGCAAUCAGAGGGUGAUGGAAUUCCCGGUGUAGCGGUGAAAUGCGUAGAUAUCAGGAGGAACACCUGUGGCGAAAGCGGCGCACUGGACCACAACUGACGCUGAGGCGCGAAAGCUAGGGGAGCAAACAGG